GACGAACGCUGGCGGCGUGCUUAACACAUGCAAGUCGAACGAAGAGAGAUGGAAGCUUGCUUCUAUUAAUCUUAGUGGCGAACGGGUGAGUAACGCGUAAUCAACCUGCCCUUCAGAGGGGGACAACAGUUGGAAACGACUGCUAAUACCGCAUACGAUCUAACUUCGGCAUCGAGGUUAGAUGAAAGGUGGCCUCUAUUUAUAAGCUAUCGCUGAAGGAGGGGAUUGCGUCUGAUUAGCUAGUUGGAGGGGUAACGGCCCACCAAGGCGAUGAUCAGUAGCCGGUCUGAGAGGAUGAACGGCCACAUUGGGACUGAGACACGGCCCAGACUCCUACGGGAGGCAGCAGUGGGGAAUCUUCCGCAAUGGACGAAAGUCUGACGGAGCAACGCCGCGUGAGUGAUGACGGCCUUCGGGUUGUAAAGCUCUGUUAAUCGGGACGAAUGGUUCUUGUGCAAAUA
rnacentral:rRNA from 1 species